rnacentral:misc_RNA from 1 species
UACGAAGGGGGCUAGCGUUGUUCGGAAUUACUGGGCGUAAAGCGCACGUAGGCGGACUAUUAAGUCAGGGGUGAAAGUCCGGGGCUCAACUCCGGAACUGCCUUUGAUACUGGGUAUCUAGAGACCGAGAGAGGUAAGUGGAACUCCUAGUGUAGAGGUGGAAUUCGUAGAUAUUAGGAAGAACACCAGUGGCGAAGGCGGCUUACUGGCUCGGAACUGACGCUGAGGUGCGAAAGCGUGGGGAGCAAACAGG